rnacentral:rRNA from 1 species
UACGUAGGGUGCGAGCGUUAAUCGGAAUUACUGGGCGUAAAGCGUGCGCAGGCGGUGCACCAAGCUCGAUGUGAAAGCCCCGGGCUUAACCUGGGAAUUGCAUUGAGGACUGGUGUGCUCGAGUGCGGCAGAGGGGGGUGGAAUUCCACGUGUAGCAGUGAAAUGCGUAGAUAUGUGGAGGAACACCAAUGGCGAAGGCAGCCCCCUGGGUCAACACUGACGCUCAUGCACGAAAGCGUGGGGAGCAAACAGG